CCAGGCCAUGUGGCCUGUCCUGCAGCCCUCACCUGGGAGCUGCUUCCUUUCAUCUCACGGGCUGUUUGGUGUGCUCCUGUCUAGCCAUCCGGGUACCUCUGUACCUGCUCAGGGCUACAGGGAACUCUGGGUUCCCAUAUAUAAAUCCCCUAGUUUUUUGGAAGAUAAUAAAUGUGGGAAAAAAGAGUAAGUAGAUUAGGGUAAGGAAGAGUUUGUAUUGCUGAGAGUUGGGGUGGGAGUAGGGGAACAGGUUUGGGUAUUAAAUAUGGCGGUCAGUGUAGACCUCGUUGAGAAGGUGAAAUUUGAAUGAAGACUUGAAAGGAGUGUGGGAGUGAGUCAUGUAGGUGUUUGAGGGAAGAGCAAAGGCAAGGACACCGAGGUGGGAGUGUGCUUGGCAUGUUG
rnacentral:lncRNA from 1 species